GGCCCGCUGGCCAAAUGGUAAGGCAUCUGAUUUCGGCUUCUGAAAAGGACCUCAUCUCAGAAGAUUGUGCGUUCGAGCCGCACGUGGGUCG